UUGAAAUAUAUAGCAUUUUUCCUAAAUGAAUUCUUCCAAGGGCGUUCGCAAUGGCCAUGUUUUCAUCAUCCUUUUAUUCAUGACUCUUUUCAUGGUUACAGGUUGUGUGAUGACGACAAAAACGCAAGUUACAUAUGGAGAUGAUGAAUACGAAUGCAUUGGACGUUGUUUAAUGAAUUGGAGGUGCAAAUACCAAUGCCAUAGUAGAGGUUAUCGUGGCUAUGUUUGUCGACCCGGAGUAAUAUACCAUUAUGAUUGUUGUUGUCUCAUUUAAUAAUAAUAAUAAUAAUAAUAAUAAUAAUAAUAAUAAUAAUAAUGGGUUACCAUAUAGUAACUUUUUAUUAAGAGUAAUUAACUUGGCUUC